GAUGAAGAACGCAGUGAAAUGCGAUAAGUAAUGUGAAUUGCAGAAUUCAGUGAAUCAUCGAAUCUUUGAACGCACCUUGCGCCUUUUGGUAUUCCGAAAGGCACACCUGUUUGAGCGUCAUGAAUACCUCAAUCUCCAUCUUUUCUUCGGAUUGAUGGGUGACUUGGAUGUUGAGCCCUGCUGGUAUGCUAUAUCAGCUGGCUUUAAACUUAUUAGCCGGCUCUGUACUGGAUCGGUUUGACUCGACGUGAUAAUAUUAUCGUUGAGGAUGCAUGUCUCAUGCAGCCGGAAAGUAUCAAAGCAGCUUCUAGCUUGCCUUUAGGGCACUUUUACAUUUUAGACCUCAGAUCAGGUGGGACUACCCGCUGAACUUAAGCAUAUCAAUAAGCGGAGGA
rnacentral:misc_RNA from 1 species